CCAACCAAACUCAUCCAUCUCCUCUGUUGGACCCCCGCUGCGACGAAGAGCGUGAUAAAAAUAAUUAAAGGAAACUCUUCCGAGGUCUAUCUUCGCUUCGCUUCCAAAUCCUAAAACCCUCGAUUUCUUCGAUCGGAAUUCCCCGGGUUCGCUUCUCAAUCCAUGAAUCUUCCGCGAUCGCGAGCGGAGAUAUUGUGAUAGCGGAUUUGCACGCCUUCUCCAUCGAAAAAGGUUUGGAAUCUGAUGCGGCUUCGACGGCUAGGGUUUUGGAUUCCGUUCAUUGGAGGCAAAAGGAAUGGCUUUUGAUCGGAUUUUUCGUGGAGAUCCUGUCAAUCAAACACUUCUGUGAUUACAGAGAGGGUUUGGGUCGUUUUCUGAAUUCUCGUCAUCGGAGGAAACUCCAAAUAGUGUUUGAACCUUGAAGAAGAGAUUACUAAAAGUGAGAUGUAUGGACAAGGGAGCUAUGCCCCCCAGUUUCGGCAUGGGCCGCCGCCACCUCCAUUGCAGCAAGCCCCUCCAGGGCACCCUGCCCCCUUCCAGCAAUCUCCAAUUGGUCUGCCCCCUCCAGCUAUCCAGCAUGGCCCCCCACCUCAACCACAAAUUCACCAAGCUCCAUCCGGCCCGCCCUCUGUUCCCUAUCAGCAUGCUCGACCUGCUCCACCGGCUCAGCAGCCUCUCCACUUCCCACCUCCUCCACCAGUGAACAUGGGGCAGCGUUACAUCCACCCCCAUGAAAGUGCCCAAGUGUAUCCUUCCUAUGCUCCGCCGGGCACUUCGUACCCUCCACCAAUGCUAAGCCAGAAUGCCCAUCAAGUACCGCAACAAAUGCCGCCACCUCCAAGAAUGUUUCCGCCUCCACCUCCUCCUUCACAGGGACAAGUUCUGUAUAGAACCUCUCCCCCACCCCCUCUGGGGAUUCAACAUGUGCCUCCUGCACCUCCACCCCCUCCCCCGUCAAAUUUUGUCUCGGUAACACCGGCCCCGUUUGUGCCUUUUGGAAGUGCUUCACUUGGAGAUGCCCAGCCGCCUUCCCUCCCACCUCCGCCACCUCCCCCUCCUCCGGCUUCUCCUCCACCCGUUCCACCUUCACCAACUCCACCAGCUCCUCCAAUGGAGGAACUUCCAACUGUUCCUUUGGCACCAUCUGUGGAUUCUGGAGCUGACAGGAACCAUUCCUUUGAGCAUGUUACUACUGAUGAUCCAGUUGCUCUGGCACAGUCAGUGGAUAAUGCCCCUGUAUCUGGCAGUUCACACAUUGGCGAAGUUGAUAAUGCUGGAAAGAAGGUUCCACUGGUGGAAAGAGAAGUCUCAGGAGAUGUCCCUCCACCUCCACUCAAGCCAAUUGAAGAAGAAGUUGUUCGCAAUAUCGAGGUGCUGUGUCAAUUCAUUGCAAAGGUUGGGCCUGAAUUUGAAAACUUGGCUCGAACAAAGGAGGCUGGGAAUCCAAAAUUUGCCUUCUUGUUUGGAGGUGCACCUGGGAGUGCUGCUGCUGUUGGGUAUGAGUAUUUUCAGUGGAUGAAAGGGAAAUAUCGUUUUGAAAUGGAAUCACAUAAAGAUCCAGUGAGGACAUCUGAAAUGGAGAAUUCUUUGCAAUCUGGUGAUUUGGAAAAUGAAGUUGCAGUUAGUUCACCUUCUGUGUCAGACAUGGAUAUGGAAGAUGAUGUUGGCCUGCUUGGCGGUGAUGCUGGUCUCAUCAAAUCGAAUGCAGAGCCAACUGGAGAGUCUGCUUCUCUAAGUAAUGGAAGAGAUGCUGUUGAAGAGCCAGCACCUCGGAGUACUACAGAGCAUGUUCAGGAGGGUGCAGUGCCUAACACUGUAUCCUGUUCAGGGCCUUCAUCCUUUAAGCAAGACAAAAGGGAAGAUGACAAGGAUUCAUCAUUUAUUGAAGAUGUUAGCCCAGUCAGGCCUCUGCCUAGUGCUGCUGAGUGUGCUGUAGAUGGCAACUUGCAACAGUCUGUGAGGCCACUAACUCAAGAUUCUAGCUGGGUCAAUGUUAUGCCAACUGCUGCUUGUGGCAAGACUGCAGAAACUCCAAGGGUAUUUGUUAAAGAUGGAAGCCCAUUCCGUCUUAUACAAGGCUAUGCUUCGGAUGACAGCGGAGAAGAUGAUGAUAAGAAAGAUCAUGUGGACAGCAUCCACCCUGUUUGGACCUCCCCAUCAGCUGCAGUAGCCAGGUCAGGCUUGCAAAAGGAUGAGGGAUAUGAAAUGCCUUCAAAUUUGAGCCCUAAGAGUGCUCCUGAGCCUGAAAGAUCCAGACUACGUGCUGAUUCAAGUCAUUUGCCCAAAGAAGCUGCUACUUCUGGCAGCUCAUUGCCUCAAAAGUCUGCACAACCAGAUGUUGUCUUUUCAAAUCCCAUUGAUGAAAUUGAAAAUGUGACUGAUCUAAGUAUUCACAAGCAGCAUGAUCAAAGAUUGCAUGAUAAGACUGGAAAUCAUAAGCUUUCUGAGGACAAUGAUGUUGUGGGAGACAAAAGUAUCAAUGCUGACCUUCAAGUUACUCAGAUUCACCUGGAGGAUGCAAAGCAGGACUCUACUACACCAAAUGUGGAUGAAUUUGGGCGUUUGGUAAGGGAAGGUAUUAGUGACAGCGAUUCUGAUGGGAUACACUACAAUGAAAGGCACGGUAAGCGGGUGAGGAGUUGGAGUCGCAGUCGAUCACCUCAACAGAGUAGAUGGAGGCAGAGAAGUCGCAGUCCUAGGAGAAGAGACAAACGCAGCCGAUCUCGCAGUCUAAAAAGCCUCAUACACUUGUCUUUCAGCUGGUCCCCUAGGAGGAGGAGUAAGUCACCACAAGCUUAUAGGCGGACUACCUUGUUUGCAAGAGCUGAUCGGGAUCAGCCUCCUGAAUGUUUCAACUUUAUUCGAGGCAGGUGCUUCCGUGGAGCAUCUUGUCGUUUUCUCCACCGUGAUGUUCGAUACCACAGGCGCAGGCAGCCACAUUGUAAAGACUUUGCACAAGGUUCUGACAACUACGAUGUGCAUGAUGAUGCUCUGGUUUCUGAAAACAGCUAUCAUGCUAAGAGUUCAGUGAGAAAUAUGGAUGUUGAGAAACGCGACGAUGUGGGUCUGGAAGCAACAAAGAGCCCGAAUAUGCAGACUGAUGAGAAAUUGUCCAAAGCCAGCACCAAGCUUACCCACGAUGGAGUUUUGGGUGAGAAGGUUGCAGUGGAUGCUGUAACAGCUGAUGCAUUACCAAGUUUGGAAAAUGAUGCUGGCGAUCGACAAAUCACUGAUCAUGGUUCUCAAAAUAUUGUUAGUCGAGUGAAGGAACCACAGCAAUUGGAAAUAUUGCAGAAGGCACCUAAGAUUAAUGGUGCAGAGGAAGAAAGAACUCAGCCUCUGCUAGAAUCCUCCCAGACUUCACUGGCUCAAAAAUCUGAAUGUUUGGUCAGCGAAACUGUUUUGGGUCAACCUAAGACGGAGGGUCAAGCUAUUCAGGCUGGUGCAUUUCAAAAUCAGGUCCCUUCUAUUCGGCCAAAUUCAGAACAUGCUCUAGUAUCUCAGACAUGUCAAAGCGAAAGUUCUGUGAGACAUUCACAUUCAGAUUGUGGUCUUGCAAGUCAGCCUUGGAAUCAAAGGUUGCUUCCUGAUGAGUUUUCACCACCUAGAGUUUCAGUGCCAGAUGCUAAAUCUCAGCCAUCUCAACUGCUACCACCUGCACCUCAGGGGCAUCCUCCGUUCUUUCCUGCAGACAGUACUACUGCACCACGUGCUUCAGAACAUCCUAGAGAGAAUCCCUUACCACCAGUCACAAGCUAUCACUUGCAUCAUCCACCCUUAGAUAUGUUAACUUCCCAUCAACAACCUGGGGCUGGUGAUUACCAUCCUCAAAGUAUUCAUCCUUCGAACUCCAUGUGGCUCAAUCCCCCUCUGCCACCACCUUCAUAUGUGAAUGGAUUGCCCAGCAGGCCUGCCUUUCCUGCAACAGAAUUUUCGCGCAUGCAGUUUCAGCAAAACACUAUACCACCUAGAAAUGACUUUUCCCAGCCUUCUAUAAGGCCCUACGUUCCAGGUGAGCUGACUCGUUCACAGGCAGUUGAUUUCCAUCGUCAACCUUUCCAGUCAAUGGAGCCGUCUCAUCAUCCUCGAUUGCAUAUGGAUGAGUUUAAAUGGAGGCCUUUGCCAAUGGGAAAUCAGCAGAAUCAACCUUUUCCUAGAGAAGAUUGGUUAGCAUGCCCCCCUCCCAUGCCUGAAGGUUCUCGAAUCAUCUCAGAUUUGCAGCAGAAGGAAUAUCAUUUGCACCAUCAAUCUCUUCUUCAUGAUGAUGUUCGGAUUCCAUUUCCCAGUCAGGGACCUAGUUCCUCUAAGUCAUAUUCCCAAAGCAGCGCUGUGUUUCCUCCAGCCCUUUCGAACCGAUCUGAGUCUUUCCCAGGGGAUCGUCCGCCCCCUAGAUUCUUCUCCAAGGAAGAAUUCCCUUCUGUCAGCAAUCUGCCUUAUUCACAUACUCCCUAUGGCCAACAACGCUCUGCCAGUCCUAAUUUUCCUACAAACCAGGGUGGUCCAGGCAUGACUAAUCCUCCUCUCCAAAGAUUGUCAUCGAGCUUCUCAGAAAGCAAUUUGCCACACCAGCUCUCUGAUAUUGGGGCACCAAGAAUUUCUAUCUCAACCCACUACAACCCUUUUGCAUCUACUUUUGAAGAGGCACCAGGAAGCUUAAAGUUUGGUUCCAGUAAAUAUGAUUCUUUGUUCAGUUCAAGCCAUGAUCCGUCAGGUGGUUCUGAUUCAAGGUUGAAAGCUUCACCACCCAAUAUGAGAAGAUCAGGAGAGCAAUUCUUGCCAAGAAGUGGUGGUUAUUCCCAUGAAACUUCUGCAGAAGUGCUACCUGAUGCGCACAAUCAGUUUCUUAGGGAUCCUGCAUCUGGUGUCCCAUAUGAUCCACUCUUUGACAGCAUUGAAACAUCUUCCAACAUGCUCAAGAAGCUAGAUCAUGUUCAAGAGCGCAACCUAGCUUCUAAUGAUGCAGGCAUGGUUCCAAAAAUUAACAGCUUGACUAGGCCUGCAGAUGUUGAGGAUAGCAAUAGGCAGAAAGAUGGCACAGGUGCUGAACUUAAGUCUGAAGUCGAUGAAUUUGGUGAGGUGGCCACAGAUGCAGAAGUGGGUGCUGUUGAGAAUGAGAGCCCUCAACAAGUGGAUGGAAAAAACUGGAGCCCAGUCAUUCCGGGCAACACUGCUGCAGGCGAAAUUGAGAUUGAUCAGGUUCGAUCACCUGGAAAGAAGAAAAGCAAGGAAUCAAGGUCAAUGAAGCUUCUCAAGAUUGCGCUUGCAGAUUUUGUGAAGGAAGUUCUUAAGCCGUCAUGGAGACAGGGAAACAUGAGCAAAGAGGCAUUUAAGACCAUUGUGAAGAAAACAGUGGAUAAGGUUUCUGGUGCAAUUCCAAGUCAUCAGAUACCUAAAACGCAAGCAAAGAUCAAUCAGUAUGUAGAGUCAUCGCAGCGGAAACUGACCAAGCUGGUGAUGGCUUAUGUGGACAAAUAUGUCAAGAUGUAGAUAAUGACUGAUAACUAUGGAGUACCUUCUAGAGCAAUCUUCUUUCCUCUCUUUUGUGGUGACCCUCCAUAUGCACGAAGACUUGCUGGUGCAGGAAAAUCUUUUAAGGAGAGAUUGAGGGCUUUGUGAGAGAGAUUGGCUUCUGACGAGGUGUGUUUUUGAGUUAGCUGUUUCACACAGUCCGGGAUUUGAGCUGAUAAUAUUCUUCUCAGCAGUUCUGGGGAAGCAACAAAUAUUUACAUACAUGUGAUGAGUUUAUGGAAGUAGAUGUUACUGGAUGAAAAAGAAGAGAGGAGCAGCCUUGUACAAAGAACUGGUAGCCAAAUCCUAUAUUAAGGGACAUGACAAACUGUAGAAAAAGGGUAGGUAAGCAGAGCCACCUGCUUGUCAAACAAGGUAACCAACAAUUUUUCAGUUGCCAUGUGCCAUGUUGCUCUGUGCUCGUAAACGAUGUCAAGAACAGUAUAUGUCUAGAAAUUUCUAUGCCAUGCUUUUAUCUCAUGAAUGAUCUGGACAAAAUAUUUUUUGAUUGCAAAAAAAUCUCAUGUGAUAGUAGGAGAGACAUAUGCUCAAGAAAGUUGCACUGAUUGUUGUGAUUGAAACCUGUAGUAUGAAGGUAUUAGCUAGGAUGAUCAGGCAGUUAUAGAAAUCACUGCUAGUAUUUUUUUUGGAUAAAUACAUAUGGCUUGUUAGUAUCGAUGAUAAAAGGGAAAACAGCAUUGAUGUUGUAUUGUUGAUCUUAAGAAAAUUUAUUAUAGAGCAUGAUGGAGCAAUGACAGUGUGUUACUUUAGUUUUGUUGCUUUUGCCAGACCAGUGAAUUUUAAGCAGG